GAACGAGAGCGUAGAGAAAGCUUGCUUUUUCUACAAUCUAGUGGCAAACGGGUGAGUAACGCGUAAACAACCUGCCCUACGGAUGGGGACAACAGCUGGAAACGGCUGCUAAUACCGAAUACGUUCCGAAAGUCGCAUGACUGUCGGAAGAAAGGAUGGCCUCUAUUUAUAAGCUAUCGCCGGAGGAGGGGUUUGCGUCUGAUUAGCUAGUUGGAGGGGUAACGGCCCACCAAGGCGACGAUCAGUAGCCGGUCUGAGUGGAUGAACGGCCACAUUGGAACUGAGACACGGUCCAGACUCCUACGGGAGGCAGCAGUGGGGAAUCUUCCGCAAUGGGCGAAAGCCUGACGGAGCAACGCCGCGUGAGUGAAGACGGCCUUCGGGUUGUAAAGCUCUGUUAUACGGGACGAAAAGUCUUGUGGUUAAUACCCAUAAGAAGUGACGGUACCGUAAGAGAAAGCCACGGCUAACUACGUGCCAGCAGCCGCGGUAAUACGUAGGUGGCAAGCGUUGUCCGGAAUUAUUGGGCGUAAAGGGCGCGCAGGCGGCUUCUUAAGUCUGUCUUAAAAGUGCGGGGCUUAACCCCGUGAUGGGAUGGAAACUGGGAAGCUCAGAGUAUCGGAGAGGAAAGCGGAAUUCCUAGUGUAGCGGUGAAAUGCGUAGAUAUUAGGAGGAACACCAGUGGCGAAAGCGGCUUUCUGGACGAAAACUGACGCUGAGGCGCGAAAGCCAGGGGAGCGAACGGGAUUAGAUACCCCGGUAGUCCUGGCCGUAAACGAUGGGUACUAGGUGUAGGAGGUAUCGACCCCUUCUGUGCCGGAGUUAACGCAAUAAGUACCCCGCC
rnacentral:rRNA from 1 species